rnacentral:rRNA from 1 species
UACGGAGGGGGCUAGCGUUGUUCGGAAUUACUGGGCGUAAAGCGCGCGUAGGCGGCUUUGUAAGUUAGAGGUGAAAGCCCGGAGCUCAACUCCGGAACUGCCUUUAAGACUGCAUCGCUAGAAUUGUGGAGAGGUAAGUGGAAUUCCGAGUGUAGAGGUGAAAUUCGUAGAUAUUCGGAAGAACACCAGUGGCGAAGGCGACUUACUGGACAAAUAUUGACGCUGAGGUGCUAAAGCGUGGGGAGCAAACAGG